rnacentral:misc_RNA from 1 species
UCAAACUUGGUCAUUUAGAGGAAGUAAAAGUCGUAACAAGGUUUCCGUAGGUGAACCUGCGGAAGGAUCAUUAUCAAAACAGCGGCCUUCGGGCCUCGCUGCACCCUUGUCUUUUGCGCACCGUAUUGUUUCCUCGGCGGGCUUGCCUGCCGGUUGGACAUCAUAAAACCUUUUUGUAGUUGCAAUCAGCGUCAGAAAAACAAUAAUUAUUACAACUUUCAACAACGGAUCUCUUGGUUCUAGCAUCGAUGAAGAACGCAGC